rnacentral:rRNA from 1 species
UACGUAGGUGGCGAGCGUUAUCCGAAAUGAUUGGGCGUAAAGGGUGCGUAGGCGGCCUGCUAAGUCUGGAGUGAAAGGUACCGGCUCAACCGGUACAGGCUCUGGAAACUGGCGGGCUAGAGAGCAGGAGAGGGCGGUGGAACUCCAUGUGUAGCGGUAAAAUGCGUAGAUAUAUGGAAGAACACCAAUGGCGAAGGCAGGUCUCUGGGCCGUUACUGACGCUGAGGAGCGAAAGCGUGGGGAGCGAACAGG